rnacentral:tRNA from 1 species
GUCUGGGUGGCUCAGUCUGUUGAGCAUCUGACUUCAGCUCAGGUCAUCAUCUUGGGUUUAUGGGUUUGAGCCCCAUGUCAGACU